UACGAAGGGGGCUAGCGUUGUUCGGAAUUACUGGGCGUAAAGCGCACGUAGGCGGAUACUUAAGUCAGGGGUGAAAUCCUGGAGCUCAACUCCAGAACUGCCUUUGAUACUGGCGAUCUCGAGUCCGGGAGAGGUGAGUGGAACUGCGAGUGUAGAGGUGAAAUUCGUAGAUAUUCGCAAGAACACCAGUGGCGAAGGCGGCUCACUGGCCCGGUACUGACGCUGAGGUGCGAAAGCGUGGGGAGCAAACAGG
rnacentral:rRNA from 1 species